GAUGAACGCUGGCGGCGUGCCUAAUACAUGCAAGUCGAGCGAACGGACGAGAAGCUUGCUUCUCUGAUGUUAGCGGCGGACGGGUGAGUAACACGUGGAUAACCUACCUAUAAGACUGGGAUAACUUCGGGAAACCGGAGCUAAUACCGGAUAAUAUUUUGAACCGCAUGGUUCAAAAGUGAAAGACGGUCUUGCUGUCACUUAUAGAUGGAUCCGCGCUGCAUUAGCUAGUUGGUAAGGUAACGGCUUACCAAGGCAACGAUGCAUAGCCGACCUGAGAGGGUGAUCGGCCACACUGGAACUGAGACACGGUCCAGACUCCUACGGGAGGCAGCAGUAGGGAAUCUUCCGCAAUGGGCGAAAGCCUGACGGAGCAACGCCGCGUGAGUGAUGAAGGUCUUCGGAUCGUAAAACUCUGUUAUUAGGGAAGAACAUAUGUGUAAGUAACUGUGCACAUCUUGACGGUACCUAAUCAGAAAGCCACGGCUAACUACGUGCCAGCAGCCGCGGUAAUACGUAGGUGGCAAGCGUUAUCCGGAAUUAUUGGGCGUAAAGCGCGCGUAGGCGGUUUUUUAAGUCUGAUGUGAAAGCCCGCGGCUCAACCGUGGAGGGUCAUUGGAAACUGGAAAACUUGAGUGCAGAAGAGGAAAGUGGAAUUCCAUGUGUAGCGGUGAAAUGCGCAGAGAUAUGGAGGAACACCAGUGGCGAAGGCGACUUUCUGGUCUGUAACUGACGCUGAUGUGCGAAAGCGUGGGGAUCAAACAGGAUUAGAUACCCUGGUAGUCCACGCCGUAAACGAUGAGUGCUAAGUGUUAGGGGGUUUCCGCCCCUUAGUGCUGCAGCUAACGCAUUAAGCACUCCGCCUGGGGAGUACGACCGCAAGGUUGAAACUCAAAGGAAUUGACGGGGACCCGCACAAGCGGUGGAGCAUGUGGUUUAAUUCGAAGCAACGCGAAGAACCUUACCAAAUCUUGACAUCCUUUGACAACUCUAGAGAUAGAGCCUUCCCCUUCGGGGGACAAAGUGACAGGUGGUGCAUGGUUGUCGUCAGCUCGUGUCGUGAGAUGUUGGGUUAAGUCCCGCAACGAGCGCAACCCUUAAGCUUAGUUGCCAUCAUUAAGUUGGGCACUCUAAGUUGACUGCCGGUGACAAACCGGAGGAAGGUGGGGAUGACGUCAAAUCAUCAUGCCCCUUAUGAUUUGGGCUACACACGUGCUACAAUGGACAAUACAAAGGGCAGCGAAACCGCGAGGUCAAGCAAAUCCCAUAAAGUUGUUCUCAGUUCGGAUUGUAGUCUGCAGCUCGACUACAUGAAGCUGGAAUCGCUAGUAAUCGUAGAUCAGCAUGCUACGGUGAAUACGUUCCCGGGUCU
rnacentral:rRNA from 1 species